UACGGGGGGAGCAAGCGUUGUUCGGAUUUACUGGGCGUAAAGGGCGCGUAGGCGGCCACCGCAAGUCGACUGUGAAAUCUCCGGGCUUAACUCGGGAAGGUCAGCCGAUACUGCGGGGCUAGAGUGCAGAAGGGGCAACUGGAAUUCUCGGUGUAGCGGUGAAAUGCGUAGAUAUCGAGAGGAACACCUGCGGCGAAGGCGGGUUGCUGGGCUGACACUGACGCUGAGGCGCGAAAGCUAGGGGAGCGAACGGG
rnacentral:rRNA from 1 species